rnacentral:rRNA from 1 species
GACCUCGGAUCAGGUAGGAAUACCCGCUGAACUUAAGCAUAUCAAUAAGCGGAGGAAAAGAAACCAACAGGGAUUACCCUAGUAACGGCGAGUGAAGCGGUAAUAGCUCAAAUUUGAAAUCUGACCUUCACGGGUCCGAGUUGUAAUUUGUAGAGGAAGUUUCGGAUAAGGCUGUGGUUUAAGUGUCUUGGAACAGAACGUCAUAGAGGGUGAGAGUCCCGUCUAGAGCCGAUAGCCGCGUCCAUGUGAAACCCCUUCGACGAGUCGAGUUGUUUGGGAAUGCAGCUCAAAAUGGGUGGUAAAUUUCAUCUAAAGCUAAAUAUUGGCCAGAGACCGACAGCGCACAAGUAGAGUGAUCGAAAGAUGAAAAGCACUUUGAAAAGAGAGUUAAACAGUAUGUGAAAUUGUUGAAAGGGAAGCGCUUGCAACCAG